CCUUUGGACUUUUGAACCAGAGAGGGAACAGGAUGAGGCCACAGGUGCUGUCUGUGUUCGUGUCAGUGAUGUGUCUAUCAGUGUUAAUCUGUGUGGCCAUCCAUUUAUAUAUGGAUAUGUGCAAUUUGUGUGGAAAUGUGUGUUUGUGUGAUGUGUGCACAUAGGUUUACUUGGAAUACUUGGCCUUACUGCUGGUUUGUCCUGAAAGCAUGGAGCUGUGACAGCCUCACCUCUACCAAGUAAUAAGAUCUGGCCCAAUUUUCCUAACAGAGAUAAGCUGGCAAACAGCUGUAAUAACGGAAUAUAACAAAACCUGAAAUCUGCUGAUAUUUUUCCCAGUUUUUUAAUUCAUAUUAAUGCUUUAUAUUUGGCAACCACAGAUCUCCCCCCCCCCAAAAAGACAACUUUCAGACUCCUGGAGCUAAUAAUUGUCAAACAUACACAUUAUAUAACAUUGCAAGGCUGUUCCCUAAACUAUCAUUUUCUUGUAGUAUGUUGAGAAAUAGACUGUGAAAACUUCAGUCUGAAAUCAUGUAGCUUUAUUUUGCCUCCUUCCUUUAAAUUUUCUCCUUCCUUUAAAUCCUUUAAAUUCUACUCUGCACUUAAAUCUUUUCUCUCCAAUUUGGACAAUUACCUAACCAGUUUUUAAAGGUGAAAGUAGCAUUUGGCAGUACAGCAAAGGUACAUGAUCUAGCCACACAUUCGCUAUAAGAACUGGAGGCAUCCAGCCCUCUAGGUUUUUACAACAUGACUUUUCCCCCCAGGAAAGCCAAGUGCUCCGUUAUGUUUUCAAAAAUAGAAACUGAGUUCACCUUGUCUUUGUGAAACAUGUUUGGUACUCUUCAUCAGCUUAAUCCCCACUGGGCUAUGCUCUAUAAGCAACGGUGUUACGUGAUUGCAGGAAAAAAACAGAGCUUUCGGGUCACGGAGAAUGUGAUGAUGUUUCUCCUCUCCCACCAGCUCCAGGAAUGCUUGUGAAGUGUUUGAGCCCUACCCAGGUGAUUGAUGAACAGACUUUUGACUGCUGUGUUGACAUCACUGGGAUUUUGUCAGUGCACUUUAAAAGGAUAGAGGGAAGAAAAAGGAAGCAGAUAUUUUCAUCCUCUGCCAGUGAAAUUGGCUUGUUUGUGUCUGCAGUCCUGGAGCACCAUUUAAGAUUCCUAGGACAGAAACAAGACUGUGUUUUCACGUUGGAGAACAGUCGAUACCUGAAUUUGCAUCACAGGCUUUUGUUCUUAGUUAGGUCUUUCCCACAUGCUAUUAAAUUCAUCCAUUUUCCCAUAGGAGGAAUCCAGACAGAUUUACUCCCUCCCAUCCCAUAUUCCAGAAAGGAAGAUCAGUGGUGAAAGAUCAUCCAGUAGCAUAAAGAUGUACAAUUCAUCUGUUCUGAAGAAAAAGGAAGUCACUUUCAACUGGCUAUAUUGUCGUUCUGUUUGUAAUCCAUCAAACUGAUGCACUUACCUACAGUUUCAUUUUUCAGAUACAAACAAUUCUUCCAAGUAUGAUUUCCCCAGUUACUCAGAAAUCAAAAUAAAGAGUACGGUAAACCAAAGUUACCCAUGUGGGCUUAUGUAACUGAAUGAUGUGCCUACUUGUUAAGGUAAGGAAGAGCACCAACAGGAAGACUGUAUUUUGCUCACAGUAUGAAAAGGGGAAAUACUGAAGUCUAGCAGAAUCUGAUGAUCAAAAUGAGAGUCUCUAGGCUAUUAUCCAAGGCCCAAACCUCUCAUGCGUGAUUUGUGCUGGCACUGGUACAGUACAGGAGCAGGUCUUGAAGGUCAGAGUCCACAGCCUGCCCCCACAGUGGCUGAUCCCUAGAGCACCUUGUGAGCCUGCAGUUUUCCAUUCAAUUGGUGUAAUAACAUGCAUUAUUAUACAAUAUGAUGGUGCCUGAGACUUUGUGUGUAUCAUCUAUUUUGUGCUUAUAGAGUUACGGUAUGCUGCAGGUUUCAUCAUCCCAUGGGGUUUUUGAGGUGUUGUUGUUUUCCCCCAGCCCAUUUCAGAAGGAAGAACAAUUUCAUGUAUUUUCAUCCACAAUCAGUAAAAGGGAAAAAAUCUUGGCUUAAAUCACUGUUUGUUUUAUUUUUUUACUAUUUUUAACUUUUCUGUCGUUGGCAGAAUGGCAAACGUAUUGAAAUAAAACUGUCU
ensembl:lncRNA